AUGGACGUAAAGGAGACGUAAAUCACAAGGGAGUCCAAUUUUACACAAGUCUCAUAGAAACGCUUAUACACGAGGGCAUCGAACCAAUAGUGACUAUAUUCCACUGGGAUUUGCCUCAAGCCCUAGAAGAUGAAUAUGGUGGAUUCUUGAGCCCGAAGUUUGUGGAUGAUUAUCUCGAUUAUGCGGAUUUUUGCUUCAAAACAUUCGGCCAUAAAGUGAAAAAGUGGAUUACCUUUAAUGAGCCAAUUAUUUUUACUACCAAUGGGUAUGA